rnacentral:rRNA from 1 species
UACGUAGGGUGCGAGCGUUAAUCGGAAUUACUGGGCGUAAAGCGUGCGCAGGCGGUGAUGUAAGACAGAUGUGAAAUCCCCGGGCUUAACCUGGGAACUGCAUUUGUGACUGCAUCGCUGGAGUGCGGCAGAGGGGGAUGGAAUUCCGCGUGUAGCAGUGAAAUGCGUAGAUAUGCGGAGGAACACCGAUGGCGAAGGCAAUCCCCUGGGCCUGCACUGACGUUCAUGCACGAAAGCGUGGGGAGCAAACAGG